rnacentral:rRNA from 1 species
AUUGAACGCUAGCGGGAUGCUUUACACAUGCAAGUCGAACGAGUGGCGGACGGGUGAGUUAUAUAUCGGAACGUGCCCAGUAGAGGGGGAUCAAUUCUCGAAAGAGUGUCUAAUACCCCAUACUCUUGGAGCCCCCGAUAUCGGAUUAGCUAGUGGGUGGGGUAAAGGCUCACCAAGGCGACGAUCCGUAUCUUGUUUGAGAGGACGACCAGCCACACGGGGACUGAGACACGGCCCAGACUCCUACGGGAGGCAGCAGUGGGGAAUUUUGGACAAUGGGGGAAAACCUGAUCCAGCCAUCCCGCGUGUAUGAGAAGGCCUUCGGGUUGUAAAGUACUUUUGGCAGAGAAGCGGUAUCUGCAGAAUAAGCACCGGCUAACUACGUGCCAGCAGCCGCGGUAAUUC